CGAAAUAUUUGGUUAGACUUUCCAACUUUCCAUUCACUUCACCAAUGUUAUCCCCGAUUCUAGGAGCAUUGUUAUAAUAUCUGCUUUAAAGUAUGUGUCAGAUGAUUUUGACAUCUGUGUCCUCUCAAUAUUGUUAUUCGAGGAUUCUCUUUGCCAUGUGAAUUAAGAUCUCCCUGUUUUUUCAUAAUGCUGAAUAUUUUGGGGCUUGUAACCUGGACUUCUUUGGAUUAUGUGAUGAGACACUGUGUCUUGCUGAAAUCUUAAGGAUAAUAUUGCUAUUUUUGUUUUUGCAGGUACACAAUUGCCUUGUAUUUAAGCUCCAAGUAUCAACCAGACUUCCAUGUGUUGUCGUUUCGAAGAUAACUCUAUUUGAAAGGCUUGACACUGCUGUUCAGAGAUCUCCAAAGUGUGUGCAACCCAGUGGUCAGUGAGGACUGGAAAGUGGGCCAUUGCACAGUUCAGCUCUCAGGCUCUUUUUAGGGCAAGGCACAGUGGCUACUCAUUCUCUGCAAAGAAGGAGGAAAAAAGGGAAGAAGGAGAAAGUCACAAAGGGAAAACUCACGCUGCCAAAAUGUCAAGUUUAGGGUAUUCCGGGACAGAAAAAGACACGUCCCAGCAAAGAAGACCUACCUAGACCUGCCCAGCUAAAGUGUCACUGAUUUUUAAAAAAUAAUUAAUUAAAAAUGAUUAAAUGAUUGUGUGUGUGUUGCAUGUGUGUGUGUGUGUGUUUAUAAAAGUGGGAUGGCAUUAUCACUUGUUCCUUGUAGCUGAGACUCUGGGGGUUGUGAGAUGGUCCAGAUUUCUG
rnacentral:lncRNA from 1 species